UGCAAACCAGCUCCCGGCGCCUCUGGGUAGGUUGUUCCGCUAGCUGCAGAACGCAGAUUUCGGCUGGACACGACGGUGCUUGGAGCUGUGCUGCUUUUCUGAGAGCUUCGGGUUCUCCGACCUGGCUUUCACUCGUUUCUGUGUCUAGAGCAAGACCGACUUUAAAUUUGCGAUUUUCUGCCUAUUAAACAAGAAGACGAAAAACCUCUUUCAGAAAACAUGGAUGCAUUUGAAAAAGUGAGAGCAAAAUUAGAAACACAGCCACAAGAAGAAUACGAAAUCAUCAAUGCAGAGAUUAAACAUGGUGGUUUUGUUUACUAUCAAGAGGGUUGCUGCUUGGUUCGUUCCAAAGAUGAAGAAGCAGACAACGAUAAUUAUGAAGUUUUGUUCAAUUUGGAAGAACUUAAAUUAGAGCAACCAUUCAUUGAUUGUAUCAGAGUUGCUCCUGAUGAAAAAUAUGUAGCUGCCAAAAUAAGAACGGAAGAUUCUGAGGCAUCUACCUGUGUAGUUGUGAAGCUCAGUGAUCAGCCUGUAAUGGAAGCUUCUUUCCCAAAUGUGUCCAGUUUUGAAUGGGUAAAGGAUGAAGAAGACGAAGAUGUUUUGUUUUACACCUUCCAGAGGAACCUUCGUUGUCAUGAUGUAUAUCGAGCCACCUUUGGUGAUAACAAACGUAAUGAACGUUUUUACACAGAAAAAGAUCCAAGCUUUUUUGUUUUCCUUUAUCUUACAAAAGACAGUCGUUUUCUCACCAUGAAUAUUAUGAACAAGACCACUUCUGAGGUGUGGUUGAUAGAUGGCCUGAGUCCUUGGGACCCUCCAGUACUUAUCCAGAAGCGAAUACAUGGGGUCCUGUACUAUGUAGAACAUAGAGAUGAUGAAUUAUACAUUCUCACCAAUGUUGGCGAACCUACAGAAUUCAAGCUAAUGAGAACGGCAGCUGAUACCCCUGCUAUUAUGAAUUGGGAUUUAUUUUUCACAAUGAAGAGAAAUACCAAAGUUGUAGACUUGGACAUGUUUAAGGAUCACUGUGUUCUGUUUUUGAAGCACAGCAAUCUACUUUAUGUUAAUGUCAUUGGUUUGGCUGACGAUUCAGUUCGGUCUCUAAAGCUCCCUCCUUGGGCCUGUGGAUUCAUAAUGGAUACAAAUUCAGACCCAAAGAACUGCCCCUUUCAGCUUUGCUCUCCAAUACGUCCCCCCAAAUAUUACACAUACAAGUUUGCAGAAGGCAAGCUGUAUGAAGAAACGGGGCAUGAAGACCCGAUCACAAAGGCUAGUCGUGUUUUACGUAUAGAAGCCAAAAGCAAGGAUGGAAGAUUAGUGCCAAUGACGAUCUUCCAUAAAACGGAUUCUGAGGACUUGCAGAAGAAACCUCUCCUGGUACAUGUAUAUGGAGCUUAUGGAAUGGAUUUGAAAAUGAAUUUCAGGCCUGAAAGGCGGGUGUUGGUGGAUGAUGGAUGGAUAUUAGCAUAUUGUCAUGUUCGGGGUGGUGGUGAGUUAGGCCUCCAGUGGCAUGCUGAUGGCCGUCUAACUAAAAAACUCAAUGGCCUUGCUGACUUAGAGGCUUGCAUUGAGACGCUUCAUGGCCAAGGCUUUUCUCAGCCAAGUCUAACAACCCUGACUGCUUUCAGUGCUGGAGGGGUGCUUGUGGGAGCAUUGUGUAAUUCUAAUCCAGAGUUGCUGAGAGCAGUGACUUUAGAGGCACCUUUCUUGGAUGUUCUCAACACCAUGAUGGACACUACACUUCCUCUGACAUUAGAAGAAUUAGAAGAAUGGGGGAAUCCUUCAUCUGAUGAAAAACAUAAGAACUACAUAAAAAGUUACUGUCCCUAUCAAAAUAUUAAACCCCAGCAUUAUCCUUCAGUUCACAUCACAGCUUAUGAAAAUGAUGAGCGUGUACCUCUGAAAGGAAUUGUAAACUAUACUGAGAAACUCAAGGAAACUGUUGCAGAGCAUGCUAAGGACACUGGGGAAGGUAGGAGACCACCUGGGAGCAGGGGACGUAGCUACAUGCACUGUUACCUAUUGCUCAGAGUAGUACAUUUCAUGCUGCAAACCAAGUCAUCCGUGAUUUUAGACAAAUCAUUGUUUUCCUCUGUUGACUACCCAGUUGAAGCAGAUGUAAUAAUUAUUACUGCCUCGCCUCUUUUUCAAAGCACAGUAUUAAAAUAAGGUAGGCAGGGCAUACGAAAAAAAGUUAAUUUAAAUAUCAAACAUGACUUGAAGGGUGUACUAUCAUGCCAUCUUUUAUUCAGUAACAAAAUUGACUGAGCUAUUAUUCUUGGAAACCCCUAAAAAACAAAUUCUAAAGUUUUUGCUGUAGAGCUUCAGUUUUCAUUUUCUCUAGAUCUUUCAGUUUUAUUAGACAAGAACUCUUAGCUUUUUACCUUACCAAGAUAUGCUAGGACCUUCCGGGCCCAGGGUGGAGAGACCCAUAUUCCAGUUUUCAGACAGUUGCCUUGUAUUCAGUUCCAUGUCCCACUCACCCAUUGCUGUAGUUGGUGUUUGGUCACAAAGCUCCCAGAUUCCAUUGGCAUUCUCCUAGUCACAGCCUUCUCUCAAGUGGCCCUAUAGUCUCUUCAUUCAGCUUCUUCAGCCUCUGGUCCUCCUCCAGCUUUUCCUGUUUCAGAAAUUUGUUUUCUACUGCUUGCCCCCUCUGCUCUCUUUGUUGGUGGUGGUGGUGAAAGAGAAAAGGCAUAGAGUACUUGGAAGAAGAGGGAUGAGAUGGAUGGGUCUCAACUGGCCAAAAACCUUCUAAUUGUUUCAUAUGCUAAUUUUUUCAGGCUAUCAAGCCCCCAAUAUUAUUUUAGAUAUUCAGCCUGGAGGCAAUCAUGUGAUUGAGGAUUCUCACAAAAAGAUUACAGCCCAAAUUAAAUUCCUAUAUGAGGAACUUGGACUUGACAGCACCAGUGUUUUCGAAAAUCUCAAGAAAUAUCUAAAAUUCUGAAGUGCUGCAAUCAGUGGGAAAUGGAAACACACUGAAAUAUUUCAGUCAUAUUUCCAGUUGCGUUAACAAGAGUGAGUUUUUCAAGUUAGUAAAUAAUUUUUAAAAAUGUACUUCUCCAUCUAAAUAUUGUUUUGUAUUCAGCUCAUUUGCUUAUACUGUUGUCUCCAUUGAUGCACAUGCCCCUUAACCUAGGAAAGUAGCUUUCAAAUUAUGCUCCAUAGAAGGACAUAGAGAAGGGAAUGAAGGAAGGAUUGGUGGCAACAGAACUUUACCUUUCCUCCAUCAGAAAAGCUUUGUUUCCGUAUGAUUUUCUUUGAACAGUUGACAAAUCAAGGUCCUGCCUCUUUGCUAGUGAACAGUUUGAGAUACUCUGCCAGUAAGUCACAAUCCAAUUUCUAUACCUGCAUUUUAUCAAGAUAACUCACACUAAAAUUCAUUAGACCUAAUGAUCUGGAGUCCUGAGGUGUUCUGGUCAUCUCAUAUUGAUGCUCUCCCAAAAUGUAGAACUUCUUGCAAGUGAUCAUUGUCUUUUAAACAUUUUAUUAUUCUGGAAACACAUUUGAGAACCAUUCCUAAAGCAUUACAUUCAGGCUACAGAAAUAUCUGAGAAUUAAUGAAUGUUCAUGAAGUUCACCCAGCAGCAGCAUCUGAGGUUACCACAAAUGCUUAGAGUGGAACGGAGUGGCAGUCUCUCCAUCUCUUUCAUAAAGCUGCCUAACACAAGCUGUACAGUAUGUUGAAUACACUGGAAUAGCAUGCCCGGUUGGAAAUGAAACAUCUAUCUCUGAAAGCUGCUUGCUGAUGAAGGAGAUUCUUGGUGUUAUAUUCAAGGAUGAGUCCUUCUCCUCUGUCCACUGAAAUGGCGUGUGUAUCAACUUCACGGCCUGUAUAGACAGAAUUGGUACUUAACCUGAUCCUCACUCUCGUGGGAAUAUUUGAAAUCACUUCCUUUAGAUUUAGCAGUGAUGAUUCUCCAAAAUUCAGAACCAUGAGCAAGACUCUGUCUAUGCCGUUGAGCUCUCUCGUGUACACAACAGAGUAGUUGUCAUUCCUCAAAUAGCAAAACCAGCCUCUGCUGAGGAGCAGUUCAUUGGCGUGAAGCAAACUUAAUUCUUGAUAUAACUUCAGUGCUGAUCUGGGCUGGGUCUUUUGGACCUAUUUAAAAAAAAAAAAGGUAUUAACAUAAAUGAUUAAUUAUAAGAGUUUUUCAAAUAUUUAUACUAUCAAAUAAGGAAUUUUCUUCCCCAGAAAAGUUGCUUCACUUCGCCCCUUAAAAUAAUUACCAAAUUGUGUAUUAAGUAGGUAAGAAUAGUUUAUUUAACUACUUCUCUGGGAGUUGUUGCAAUGUGCACAGUUUUCCACUACAUUUUGGCCAGAGCUGAUGUAAAGGCCAAAUUUGACUCCACUUUAGGCAUCUCAAAACAAAUGUCCAUGUCUAAGUUAAUGGAUAUUUAACUUGCCUAAAUAAAGUCAAGUCCCUUUAUACUAUAUUUAACUGGCAGAAAAGCAGCCCGAUCCCUGGCCUUGCUUGGGUUAAGGAUCCGGCAUUGCAGUGAGCUGUGGUGUAGGUUUCAGAUGUGGCCCGGAUCCGGCAUUGUUGUGGCUGUGGUGUAGGCUGGCAGCUACAGCUCCAAUUCCACCCAUUGCCUGGGAACUUCCAUAUGCCACACCUGCCACCCUAAAAAAAGAAACUGCCCUCUGUUUUUGACCACAAAGUAAUAUAUGUCCAUUAAAGAAGACCGGAGUUUAUUUUACAGCUAUCUAAAACAUACAUAAUUUAAUGUUGUCUUUUUCUUGCUGUUUUCCCUUUAACAUUUCAAGCAUUUUUUAUUAUAGUAAAUGUCAUUUUAAUGACAGAAUAGUAUUUGGUUGAAUGGUUAUUCCAUACUUAACCAUUUCGUUUUGACAUUCAGGUUCCUAAUAUGCUUUCUCCAUAUUUGGAUUAUUUAUUCAAGGUACAAAUACCAGACAAUUACUGUGUCAAAGAGUAUGGAUACUUGAGUCAUAAUGCCAAAUUUGUCUUCUAAAAGCUAUUGCCAAAUCAGUGAGAAUGUUCAUUUCAUUGUACUCUUGCCAGCAUGUUAACGUCAGUGAUAGUGGUGUUGUUUGGGGGAAGGUGCCUAAUUUGUGGUGUUUAAUGAACAUCUAAUGAAUAUCUGCAAAAAUGUUUAUUCUCUGUUCAUCAGGAACAAAGGUAUUCGUAGUACAUAUAUACUGUAUAUGUAUAUGACUCUUCACAUAUAUAUUACUAUUCACAUUUUCUAUAGCCUUAGAUAAUGCAUGAAAAAGCAUAGUUCAGUGCCACCCAUAUAAGAAGUGCCCAGUAGGUAUUAACUUAUUUUUGUCUACUUGAUUUACCACUUUCUAGAAGUAUGUUGAAGUGUCUCUGUAAUUGUAGAUUUAUCAGUUUCUCUUUGCAUUUCUCAGAAUACUUGUUUUAUAUAUUUUGAAGCUAUUGUUAGAUGCAUAGAUUCAUGAUUUAUAGUGGAGUGCUCCUUUACCAGUUUUUGAAAAUUGCCUUUGUCUCAUAAUGCUUUUCAUAUUGAAUUCUAUUUUGUCUGCUAUUAAAUAUUUCCACACCUGCUUUUUGUAACUUUAUUUUUUUAAAUAGAAAAUGCAUGCAAUACAGUAUAAAAUUCAAUUGUAAGAAUAUAUAAAUAAAAUUAUUUCCUUCAAAACCA